rnacentral:tRNA from 1 species
ACUAAUUUGGCAGAAAAAUUGUAUCAAAUUUAGAAUUUGAAUAGGGGUGAAAUCCAGUUAGUA